GCAGCCGCGGUAAUACGUAGGUCCCGAGCGUUGUCCGGAUUAUUGGGCGUAAAGCGAGCGCAGGCGGUUAGAUAAGUCUGAAGUUAAAGGCUGUGGCUUAACCAUAGUACGCUCUGGAAACUGUUUAACUUGAGUGCAAGAGGGGAGAGUGGAAUUCCAUGUGUAGCGGUGAAAUGCGUAGAUAUAUGGAGGAACACCGGUGGCGAAAGCGGCUCUCUGGCUUGUAACUGACGCUGAGGCUCGAAAGCGUGGGGAGCAAACAGGAUUAGAUACCCUGGUAGUCCACGCCGUAAACGAUGAGUGCUAGGUGUUAGACCCUUUUCCGGGGUUUAGUGCCGCAGCUAACGCAUUAAGCACUCCGCCUGGGGAGUACGACCGCAAGGUUGAAACUCAAAGGAAUUGACGGGGGCCCGCACAAGAAGGGC
rnacentral:rRNA from 1 species